rnacentral:rRNA from 1 species
UACAGAGGUCUCAAGCGUUGUUCGGAUUCAUUGGGCGUAAAGGGUAUGUAGGCGGCGCUGUUAGUCGGGUGUGAAAUCCCUCGGCUCAACCGAGGAAUUGCGCCCGAUACUGCAGUGCUUGAGGGAGACAGAGGUAAGCGGAACUGAUGGUGGAGCGGUGAAAUGCGUUGAUAUCAUCAGGAACACCGGUGGCGAAAGCGGCUUACUGGGUCUCUUCUGACGCUGAGAUACGAAAGCUAGGGGAGCGAAGGGG